GAGGGGGGGGCUCUUCCACAAUGACCCUGAUCAAGGGCAAGUGCCGACCAGAGUCAAAAAUAACCUUCUGGCAGUUGGCCAUUUUCAUUUUUCUGACUUUUCAUUACAAAACAAUUCCAGACAGAAGGUAAAUUUCUGUCAUCACUCCUAUGCAGGUUUAGUGGGGGGAAUACCCAUACAGGACUCCUGAAUGUAAUCGGGAUUCCAGCUGUAGUCUGCAGGGCACUUGAAACUUUGGCAGAGUGACCACAAAUGUUCCUUUUGUUUUAAAUUAAGCCCAGGAGCCGCGCCAGAACGUGCCCGGUUCUGGAGGUGGUGUGGUCUCCUGACAGGGAAAGGUGGGAGGCGGGGUGCAGUUAAACUGCGUGCUUCCAGUUUCUCCUUCCAGCCUCUCAGCCUUGCUUGAUACACUUAGGUCCUGGUCUUACUUUUCCUGGUUUCUCAGAUAUUCUUUGAGUUUUGGGGUUUUCUGUCUAAGAAGUCUCUUGCAUUAAUUAGGCAAGGGGUGUUGGCAACGUUCCAUCAUGGACUGCCCCCCACACCCUCAGUCUGGGGAUCUUUUUCGUGCAACAAGUCUGCAUGUUGGAACUCCCACUAACUCGCAGUCACUUUCUUCUAAUUUGAACGAAUGGAGACACGACAGCAGUUUAUCCAAAGCCUAGCACGUCACAUUACUAUUAUUACCACUUACGCCUUUUCUGAGUAAAACAGCUACACAGUUCCCUGUGUAGGAGCAGUUCAGGCUGGGGGGGCUACAGGGGUGCGGCCGGCUGCUGUGUGAACUGCCUUUGUAGCAUGCCAGCACAGGCCUUGGCGAAGCAGGUGAGUUACGUUACCCGCAAGCAAAGGAAAAGGGCUAGUUCUCUGUGAGGGUGGAGGGAAGGGAGCUCUGUUUCGCCAAUAAAGUGUUAAAAAUAGAAUCCGCCGUGCCUGCAUAGCAGUGCUCACGGAACCACCAGCCCGCUGCAGCGUCGUCCGCAGGUGUUUGUGUUUUGUAACGUCUGACGUGUGUUACAGCCUCAGAAUGUAGCAGUCUGGUACAUGCGUGAAUGUGCGCUGUGCGGCUCUCCUCCUCCACGGAGGCCAGCCCGCUCGGCUCCUGGUCCUCCAGCGCGUAGGGGCCCGGACAGCCUCCCACCUUCACUCGGUCCCAUUGCUUUGGCAGUUUCCAGCGAUGGGAUCACUUCAGGAGCCAGGGCUCCUAGCACCAGUGUCAGCCUUGCCACAGACGUUUGUACUGAAGAGCUGUGACUUAGAACCCAGGCCCUCCCCUCUUCUUGGAGGUAUAAGCCAGGACCCUGCGCGUCUGUCUCUCUGGCUGUUCCUGAGUUAAUCUGCCUGUCACAACCUGUGUCCAUUGAUGGUGAAAGAGUUUUAAAAUAUGAUACACCGUGGAAUACUACUCAGCUAUAAAAAAGAAAAGUGAUAUUCUGCCAUCUGUGACAGAUGAAUGGACCUUGAAAGGAACACACGGUUGAGAUUUAUUAGUGCCAGCAGAUCUUGACUCUUCAGGCAGAUGGAUAAUGUGCGGGCUGAGGAAUAUCAUCGUGAGUUCACAGGUUCAGGAAAACUUGUCUGAUUAUCAUGUAAGUCUGGGGGUGAGCAUUUCCUCCCAAUGCUAAAUCAUCACACUGACCUCAUCAAGUAUAAUACUAAAUGAGAUGCUAAAGAAAUUAGCCUCUAACAAUCUUGAGAUGCUCCUCUUUGUUGUCUUCCAAUUGUUUUAUUUCCCUCUGUCUUAACUACUUAAGUAUAAAUAAUUAUUUUUAUGGAAGAUAGAGAUAAUAAUAGCUUGAAGCAAAAGAAGAUGUGAGGUUCAUAAUAUUAAAGAAAUGUAUGGCAGCUAUCACACAAGGUUGGAAGAGAGGAACAUCAACAUUCUUUAUUACGUAUGAGCUAAUAUAUUAUUUGAAAAUAAACUGUGAUAAAGAGGUAUACUGUAAAUCCUAGAGAAACAAAGUCAGCCAGUGAAGGAGACAAAAUGGAAUCAUAAAAAUAAUCCAAAAGAAGAAAUGAGGCAAAUAGGAAACACAAUGCAGGAGGGUGGAUAUAUGACGAAACAUAAAUAUUCACAUUGGACUACUUACAUUUUAACACCCCAAUUAAAAGGCAGAAGUUCUCAGAUGGGAUUUUAAAAGCAGGGUUCAAUUAUAUGCUACUUUUGAGAAACCAACUUUAAGCAUAAAGACAUAAAGAUUAAAAGGGUGGAAAAACACAUUUUCAUGCUAACACCAAUCAUUAGAAAGAUGGAGUGGCUAUAAUACGAAAAUAGAUUUCAGGACAAGGAAUAUUAUUGAGACUAAAGCAGAUCCCUCCAUAAUAAUAAAUUGGUUCAUUUAUCUGAAGUACAUAAUAAUCCUAAAUGUUUAUGUAGCUAAUAGUAAAACUUCAAAAUAUUUGAAGCAGAAACUGAUAUAAAUAAGAAAAAUAGUCUAACCCACAAGUAUGGUUGAAAUUUCAAUACCCCUCUCUCACUAAUCCAUAAACGAAGUAGAUAGAAAAUGAGGAAGGACAUAGAAUUAACGCAAACUCCUUGACCUAAUUAACAUUUAUAGAACAUUCCACCCAGCAAUAGCAGGAUACAUAUUCCUUCCAAGUGCAUGAAGAACAUUUACCAGGAUACACCAUAGUCUGAGCAGUAAGAUAAUGAGAAAGUACUGAAACAAUACGAAGUAUGUCCUCUACAACAAAACUAAAAAUAGAGAAAAUCCUCAAAUAUGUGUAAGCUGAAUAAUGCACUUCUAAUUCCCAGGUGGCACUAGUGGCAAAGAACCCGCCUGCCAAUGCAGCAGACAUAAGAGAUGGGGGUUCGAUCCCUGGGUCAGGAAGAUCCCUUGGAAGAGGCCACGGCAACCCACUCCAGUAUUCUUGCCUGGAGAAUCCACGGACAGAGGGCCUUGGUGGGCCCCAGUCCAUAGGAUCACAAAGAGUUGGACGCGACAGAAGCAACUUGGCACGAAUAACUCACGGCUCAAAAUGGAAUCACAGGAAAAGCUAGAAAAAAAUACUUUGAAUGGAAAGAAAAACAUGACAUGUCAAGCUUGUGGGAUACUGCAAAAGCAAUGCUUACAGAGAAUUCAUAUAUGUGUGUGUCUGUGUGUAUGUAUAUUGUACAGAUUUUUUUCUUUUGUCCACCCAGCUUGUGGGAGUCUUAGUUCCCCAACCAGGGAUCAAACCCCAGCCACAGCGGUGAACGUGCCAAGUCUUAAUCAGUAGACUACCAGGGAAAUCCCUGAAAUGGACAUAUUUCUUGAAAGAUUAAAACUACCAAAGCUCAGUGAAGUGGAGAUAGAUAACCUGAAAAGCCCUAGGUCUAUUAAACUAAAUUUCUAAUUUGAAACCUUCCUACAAAAAAACUCCAGGUUCAGAUAUCAUCGAUAGUGAAUUCUAACAAAUAUUUAAGAGAAAUAUUAUCAAUUCCACCCAUGGGGUUGGAAAGAGUUGGACACGACUGAGCAACUAAACUGAUUAUCAAGUCUAAACAAAUUCUUCCAGAAAAUUAAACAAGGAAAUACUUCCUCUAUUAGGGAAGCAUUUCCCUGGUAACAAAACCAGACAGAUGCUGCAAGAUCAGAAAACUACAGACGAGUAUCCUUUAUGAACCUGGACAUACAAAUCCUUAAACUUUUGGCAAAUUGAAUCCAACAACAUAUAAAAAGGAUAAUGUAUCACGACCAAGUGGAGUUUAUUCAACAAAUGCAGGUUUGGCUUAACAUUCAAUUAUUCAGGGCUUUCCUGGUGGUCCAGUGGUUAAGAAUCUGCCUUGCAAAACAGGGGACACAGGUUCAAGCCCUGGUCCGGGAAGAUCACACAUGGUGUGGAGCAACUAAGAUGGUUCGCCACGACUAAUGAGCCUGUGGUCUUGAUCCAGCACACGCUGCAACAAUGACCCCGAGUGCCCUGGAGCCCGUGUUGUGAGCCCACACUCCACAACGGGAAGACCAGCAAACCAUAUAUUUUUUAAAAAACAUUCAUUCAUAUCAACAGACUAAAGAAAAAUUGCUGACACCCAAAAGGCAUUUAACGAAAUCCAACAUCCAUUCAUUUUAAACAGUUUCGGCAAACUAGCAAUAGAAAGGAACGUCCUUGUUUGAUAACGGCACCUACAAAAAAUGAGUUAUGCUUCAUAUCUAUAGUACUGAUACUAUGUAUAAAAUAGAUCAUUAAUGAGAACCUACUGGGAACUCUAUUCAGUACUCUGCACUGAUCUAAAGGAAAGAAAUCCAGAAGGGGAAUAUACGUGUACACACAGCUGAUUCAUUUGCUGUACAGUAGAAACUAACAGCACCGUAAGGCAACAAUACUCCAAUAAAAAUUAAUUUGAAAUACAAGAGUCAUACUAAAUGUUGAAGGAAGUCAACAGAAAAUAGGAAUCUGAGAAAAUGUUAUCCUGGAAUUCAUGUUUCUGGAUGUGCACAAAUAAGUUUUUCUCAUGAUUUCCAUCAGCAUUGCUUUAAAUCAAUCAAUUAUAUAACUGUUACCAUCAGAUGCUUUAUCUUAUACAUAGUUGUGCUUGUGUUCUGGGAAAAACUUAGGCAGCAUUAAUAAGGGGGGUAGUGUGAAAAAUAGGAAAGUGAAGGUCAAGUGACUGUGACUGGCACUAAUCUAGGAGGGAAAAAGUCAUUUACUAGAAGAAAAAGUUCAUAUUCGACCAAAAAGAUAAAUCCAAACGCUUGUAAGUGACUCAAUUCCAAAGUAAAAGAGCAAAGAUACAGCAAGCACACACACGUGAGAAGGCAAGGCUGUGAAGUCACACCCAGAAGAGCUGGGAUUCGGUAAAAAGCAUGAAGCACGACGGAAGUUUCACAGUGUGAGGAACAUACUCCACUCAGUAUCUCAUCAUUCAGCUCAAGCUGUGAACCAGCACGAUUCUCAGAAAGGGGAAUGGAACUGAGGGGGGCACAGAAAUAUGGACUGUCCAUAAUUUCAAAUAUUUUUUAACAGUCUCAGGCAUUACUACAAGAAUUAAAUAUAGAAAUCUUAAGAUCUGACACCGUUAUGAACCUUAACUGUCAACAUAUCAAACUCUAAGAAGAAAAUGCAAGACAAGAAACUGAUAGAAAUUAAAACGUGGUUGAAGAAUUACAUAAUCUCAGUCCUGGACAAGUCAAGUAGGGAGUGGGUAAUAAAAGGAGUAUGCAUUUAAAAAAAAAAAUUGUGCAUAGAAAGGAAAAGCUCAUCAUGUCUGAGCCAGGUCAGUGCUCUCCUCAGCUCCACCUCUGCCAGCCAUGUCCCUCUACACAGCCGGACGAGCCCCGCUACCCCCAUGACCAACCAAUCCAUCACUGAGUCCUGUCCACUUAACCUCCUGAAUGCCCUUGGAAUCUGUCCAUUUCUCUCCAUCACCUCUGUCUCCACUCUGAUACCAGACACUAGGGUCUCGCCCCUAGAUUAUGACAGGAGCCUCCUAACUCACUCUGAUAAACCUCCCCUUCCACCUCCCAUCACCUGCUCUGCACACCACAGCCAGAGCCAUCUUUACAAAAUGGAAAACUUUUACCACUCUGCUGGGUCCACGAGCCAAGGACUUGCCCUUGCUCUCAGGGUAUGGCAGAAAUCCAUCCUGCAACCCUCAGGGCCGUGUCCACCAUGGCCCUCCCUGCCUCUCCAGCUCCUUUCACACCACGUGUCACUACUCCGUCCUCUGGACAUCCUUCCACUCCUUCAAGACCAGGCUCCUCUCCCACCUCUGGGUAUUCAUCUGCACCAGCCAUAUCCUGGACCUGGACUGCUUACCUCCGGCUCUGUCUCACUAAGGCCAAUUCAUGCUUCAGAUCUCAGCUCACCUGUCACCUUGCCAGGAAAGCCUUCUGUGACCUUCCAUUCUAGCUCAGAUGCCUCUGUGUUAUGCUCUCAGAGAGCACAGCUCCUUUCCCGCACAGGACUUCUCCCAUUGAGGCUAUUAUCUGGUUAAUGUCUGCCCCCACCACAACCUCCACCACCAACCUAUGAGAGUUCUGAGUAAAGGAAUCCUGCUUGUGCUCACCUACCAUUUCCCCCAGUGGCCUGCACAGUAUCUCAAAUAUAGUAGGUGCUGCAAUAAACAUGGGAGCCAUAAAUGAACCUGAAUCGAAGUAUCAAUACUUAUUAGAUUGAUCUGAUUCAACUCAUUUACUGUCACAGAAAACAUAGCCUUCUUAGUUUCCCAUGGAAUAGCAAUGGAAACUGAUCAUAAGUUAGACCCUCACAAAAUCACAUAUUCUGUAAUGUACGAACAACUGAUUGCUUUUUCUCCAAAGCACUAGAAUAUGCUAGCAUAAUUGCUUUGGAAUAUCACUAGAAACACAUAGGAAAAUUAGAAACAGCAAGGGCAUGGACUUAUUCACUGCUGUAUCGCCAGCACUUAAAAUAAGUGUCGAUACAUAUUUGCAAAUGAACACACAAAAACAUGGACAUGAAAUUGACAACCCGCCAAAGAGGAAGAUGGAGAGACAAGAAGGAAGAUAGGAGAGAAAAUCAGAGGUUCAAUCAAGAAGGAAUAAUCAGGAAUUUUAGAAAGAAAACAGAAUAAAAUGAUCAAAGAAAUAAUGUAAUUUCCUAAGAAGUUGAGAACAUGGAUCUCCAGAUUGAGAAAGCCCACAAGCACCCAACUAAAUGGAUGAAAAAAAAGUGACAUAUACAUACACACAAUUGAAUACUACUCAGCCAUAAAAAAGAAUGAAAUACUGCUAUCUGCAGCAGCAAUGCUGGAUCUAGAGACUAUCAUACUAAGAUGGAAAAAAACACAUAUAUGCUAUCACAGGCAGAUCUAAAAUAUGACUGAUGAACUUGUUUAUAAAACAGAAACAGACUCACAGACAUAGAAAACAAACUGCUGGUUACCAAAGGGGAAGAGGGGCAGCCAAUUCAGGAGUUUGGGCUUCACAGAUACACUCUACUAUAUAUAAAACAGAAAAACAACAAGGACCUGCUGUACAGCACAGGGAACUAUGUUCAAUAUUAUGUAAUAACCUAAAAUCAAAAAUAACCUGAAAAAAUAUAUAUGCACACAUAUACAUGUAUGACUGAAUCACUUUGUUGUACACCACAAACUAACGCAACAUUGUAAAUCAAAUAUAUGUCAACUUGAAAAAAGGAAAAUCACCCACACCCAAAAUGACCACACAUUGCCUUAAGGUUGCAGACACUGGAAACAGAAAUGCUACAAGCUUUCCUAGAGAAAAUAAAGGUCACCUACAAACAUUUGAGAAUCAAAAGGACUCUGCAUUUCUAAGUCGUGUUCAACUCCGCAACCCUAUGGACCCUAGCCUGCCAGGCUCCUCUGUCCGUGGGAUUCUCCAGGUAAGAACAUGGAGUGGGUUGCCAUGCCCUCCUCCAGGGGAUCUUCCUGACCCAGGGAUCAAACCCACAUCUCCUGUGUCUCCUAUAUGGGAAAGCAGGUUCUUUACCAUUAGCGCUGCCUGAGAAGCCUAAAUGGUAACACUGGAAGCUAAGAGACAAUGGAUACCUUUAAAAUUCUGAAGAAAUAUAACUCCAAACUAGAGUUCUACACCCAGCCAAACAUACAAGGGGUUAAUAAAGGACAGAAUAAACAUUGAUACACAGGAGUUGUUUUUGCUUUUUUGGCCAAACCAUGCAGCUUGUGGGAUCUUGUUCCCUGACCAGGGAUUCAACCUGGGCCCCAGCAGUGAAAGUUCCUAGUCCUAACAACUGGACUGUCAGAGACUUCCUGAGAAUUUAUCUUUUAAAUGCUUAUAAUUAAAUGAAGAAAAGUCUCAAAUUACCUAAGCUUCUGUCUUAAGAAAGUAGAAUACAAAGACCAUAGUCGGCACAAGAGGAAAUAACACAGAUAAAGGCACACAAAUCAAUGAAGUCAAAUACA